UACAAUAGUAGGUUCGGUCAAAGGCUUGGCUCAUUUCGACACCUUUCGAUGCUAUUUUAUAGGCUCUCCUUCCCAAAUCCUACUCAAUACGUCCGCGAACGGUACAUUGCCGCCUGGAUAUUCAGGAUUUGGUAUACAGGAAAUCCCAACCCCUUGAUCGGAUGGGCGGCAAGGCUGAAUUGGGAGAA
rnacentral:ribozyme from 1 species